rnacentral:lncRNA from 1 species
GCGUUGGAUCACUGAAUUGUUGAGAAAAACCAGGUGUUUUAUAGUUGAUCAUUGCUGUUACUGUGUACAAUAUAUUCCUGGCUCUACUUGUUUCGCUCAGCAGAAGUUUGUAUAAAUCUUUCCAGGCCUUUCUAAAAUCAGCUUGCUCAUCAUUUUUUAAAGAACAAUACUUUUUUUUUUCUUUUUAAAAAAUUUAUUUAUUACUCAUACAUAUUGCUUUAAUGAAUCGUUUUGAGAGAGAAAAAUCAGAGCAAAAGCAUAAAACCAUAGGAGAGAUAAGAAAACAGAAAAAAGAAGUGAACAUAGAAUGUGUUGAUUUACAGUCUCCAUAGUUCCUUUUCUGGAUGCAGAUGGCAUUUUCUGUCCAAAGUCUAUUGCUUUGGAUCACUGAACCACUGAAAAGAAUCCAGUCUUCCAUAGUUUAUCAUUGCACAUUCUUGCUGUUAUUGUGUACAAUAUAUUCCUGGUUCUGCUUGUUUCGUUCAGCAUCAUUUUGUGUAAAUCUUUCCAGGCUUUUCUAAAAUCACUUUGUUCAUCAUUUUUUAUAGAAAAAUAAUACAUUAUUUUCAUAUAUUACAACUUAAUCAGCUAUUCCCCAGUUGAUGGCCAUCUACUCAUUUUCUAAUUCUUUACUACCACAAAAAGAGCUGCUACAAACAUUUUUGUACAUGUGGGUCCUUUUCCUUUCUUUAUGAUUUCCUUGAGAUACAGAUCCAGUAGAGACAUUGCUGGAUCAAAGGGAAUGCACAGUUUGACAGCCCUUUGAGCAUAGUUCCAGACUGCUCUCCCGAAUAGUUGAAUCAUUUAAAGAACAAUAAUAUUCCAUUACUUUCAUAUAUCAUAAUUUAUUCAGCCAUUCCCCAAUUGAUGGACAUCUAUUCAUUUUUUAAAGAAAUAUUAUUUUUCUAAGGCAUAUUUCUUUUGUAAAGCCUACUAAAAAUACAAUUUAUUUGAUUGAAAUCAAGAUUAAACAAAAAAGCUUGAGAACAGCUCUGAUAUUGUAAAAACAGUGACCAGCUGGGAUCCAAUGUCCAGCUUCUCUCAUUACUCUGUUGACUGCAGAAAGAUGCAAGGCGAUUUGUGCUUUCUUUUUUAUCUCACUCAACUGACAUUUAUAGCUAAUGUAGGUUGAUUACUUGUCUGCUAUUUAAAGUCCAAGAGUAUUGAUAGAUUAAACAACUUGGUCAGGGUAACAUAAGACAUUAAUACACUACUAAAAUUCAGAGUUGUUUAUAUAUCUUAUUAACUCUUUACAAAUAACCCUCUGUGAUUGGAAAGUAGUUCUUUUUAUAGAGGAGGAAACUGAGGCACAGUAAAGUAAAUUAACUUGUCCUAAUUCUCACAAGAGAUGAGUAGCAGAGUAAGAAUUUGAAGGUGAUUAAUUUGAAGUGAUUCCAAAUGUAGAACACCCAAGUACUUAGUGAUCUCUGACUGGGCAAAAACAACUAGGUGGCAUAAUGGAUAAAGUGACAAGCCUGGAGACAGACUUAAGUUCAAGUCUAGGCUCAGAUGGUUGCCAGCUGUAUGUUCCUUGGCAAGUUACUUAACUCAGUUUGUCUCAGUUUCCUCAUCUGUAAAAAUGAGGAGAAGGAAAUGACAAACUAUUCCAGUAUCUUUGCCAAGAAAACCUCAAUUGGGGUCAUGAAGUUUGGAAAGAACUGACAACAGACAUUAGGCAAAUUAUUUUGGGGAAGAAAGAUGUAUAAGGUAAAGUCCUUGACCUUAAGAAUUUGGUAUCUAUUGGGUGACAAGUCUAAUAUGCUUGAAAUAAUAGUAAAAUAAGAUAGGAUAUAGUUUAGUAGUAAAUUAUUUGAUGCAGACUUUUAGUACUAUAUAUUCCUGGUUCUGUUAAAUAAGAAACUGAAAUAAGAUAAAUGUGGGUCAUAAGAGCUUGGAAAAUGGAUUUGAUCUGAGACUUAAAUGAAUUUUAAAGUCAAGCAUGGCUAUCUUGAAAGUUAAUCAGAUAACCUGAGAUUUUCAUAGUACAGGAAAUAAGAAACCAUGGAAGGUUUGAAUAAGGGAAUAGAAUGAAGAAAGGAGUAUUUAGGGGAAAUCAAUUUACCAAAAGCAUCUAAAUAUUGGCUUAACUCAGCCUUUCUUAAUCUUUUUGUAUUGAGGACUCCUUUGGAAGUCUGCUAAAGUCCAUCAUCACAGUGUUUUUAAAAGCAUAAAAUAAAAUACAUUGGAUUAUAAAUGAAGCUAAUUACAUUAAUUAACAAUUUUAAAAGAAGUUCAUGCUUUCAUAUUAAUAACCCCUGCUUUAACUGAAAUAUUUAACCUGUUCAUAUUUAAUUUUUAUAUGUUAAAACAUGGGAAUUCAAAGGCACUGAUAUUGAUUUUUGUGUUAUUUAUAAUACUGAGUAUGGCAUCACAUGGAACAGUGAUAGAGACUGGACCUAUGAUUUUGCUGAUAUGGGAAAUUCAAUAAAAUAACUUCUUCCAUCAAUAGAGGCUAGCACCUUUUUAAUUUGCCAUCUUAGAAAGCACCGUAUGCAUACAAUUUACAUAAAUUCAAGCCUAAUGAUUUUAAUCUAGACAAAUUACCAAUCUAUAUGACAUUAUUAAAAGACUAAAUUAUUUAAAAGGUCAUUUGUUGUUGUUCAGUCAUUUUUUUUUUCCAGUCAUAUUCUACUCUUUGUGACCAUUUGGGGUUUUCUUGGCAGAGUAGUUUGCAAAUCCUUCUGCAACAGCUAGGUAAUGCAGUGGACAGACUGCUAAGCCCUGGAUUCAGGGAAAAUUCAUCUUCAUGGUUUCAAACAGAGCCUCAGACACUCGCUGUAUAAUCCUGAGCAUGUAAAUUGUUUAACCAUUUACUCCAGUUCCUCAUCUGUAAAAAUGGGCUGAAGAAGGAAAUGGCAAGCUGCUACUCUAUCUUUGCUCAGAAAAGUCCAAUGGGGACACAAAGAGCCAAGUCAAAUGACCGAAAAAUUAUUUCUUUUAAAUUUUGAAGCCUCUAUUUUCCCAAAGUUGGUUUACCUCUCCCUAGUCUUUCACCAUUUUUUCAACAACCAUUCCUGGAUCCUGUGGUACUUAAACCUUUCAGUUAGUUAUCUGUUGUUGCUUGUCCUUUGUCCAUGACAAGCAAGUGAACUGGAUUGAAGCCAGGGAGGUCAGUGCAGGUCACUUGCCUCACUUUCUCCCCGAGAACUAUUUGGGUCUAGUGGCAAGAUAUAGAUCUUAAGAACUGGAAAUGGAGAAGACCUUGACCUUUUUUAAGCUAGACUGCACCCAUUUAGUAAUUAAGGUGUGGUAGCAAUUGAGACAAAGAAUUUCUUCUUUCAGAUAGUCCAAAAGGAAAAAAGAAAUCCAAAUAAAUAAAUAAAUGAAUCUGGGAAGGAAAGGCCCUCGGGGUUUCUGGCCAAAAUAGAAAUGACAGCUGUCUAUAUUCAAUACGAGUUAAUCAGGACUCAAACAAUGACCAAUUAGGGGUUGAACUAGGAUCUACUGAUGAUCAGUGAGAAUCAGAUUGGUUUGGUUUAAGGCAUGAUACUUAAGAAAGAAAUCUACCCAGUAAAUCCCAAAAUAUCUUGGGAGGUCCUGAAGGAAAAAAAAAUGCUUUUUAAGAACAUCUGUUAAGUAAGGAUGUGAUGGCUUAUGUAGGCAGAGAGAGGGAAAGGGAAGAAGGGUAGAAGAGAGAGUACAAACACUAGGCUUCACAUGCUGGCCCAACACUAACUGGCUGUGAAAUUUUGGGCAAGUCAUUUGUUAGUAAAUCUUACCUAUGCCCUCUGACAUCUACGUCUUAAUAAAUGUUUCCAGGUAUGCUGUUAAAUAUUUAAGAAACAGAUUUCUGAAGAGAAAAAAAUGUAGACAGGACACACUUUUAAAUUUAAUCUACAUUAAUAUUUUAUCCAUCACUAAAAAAAUUCUAAACAACCAACAAAACCAUAAAUCAAUCCCAUUUUGUUAGUAUUUAUUGAUUUCUAAGAUGUAAAUGUUCAUUUUAAAUUGAUUAGAGCCAGCUCCAGCAUACUACUGAUUAAAGUUUGAAAAGCACUUUAUAAAUACUAUGUCAUUUUGUUGUCACAACAGUAAUAAUCUUGGCCCACUAUAGUUAGGUGGCUUCAAAUAUGUUUCAUUUAUUCAUCUUGAUCUUUUCCACGAUCCCAUUUUGUAAAUCUGGACCCAUAAUCAAAUCAAUACUACUACUGCAUAAUGCUUUUAAAUAUAUUUAUUAAAAGUCGCAGGGGUUGUCAAACUAUAGCCUGCUGGCCAGAUGCAGCAGCUGAGGACGAUUAUCCCCCUCACCCAGGGCUAUGAAGUUCUUUAUUUAAAGGCCCACAAAAUAAAGUUUUUGUUUUUACUAUAGUCCAGCUCUCCAACAGUCUGAGGGACAGUGAACUGGCCCCCUAUUUAAAAAGUUUGAGGACCCCUGAUAGAGUAACAGAACCCAUGCUGUAAAAGAUUCUCUUAAGGUAGAAAGGUUUCAAAUAAAGACACAGUAAUAUAUGGUAUCUGAAAUCUGAGGACCAGAUUAAAAAAGGUUGGAAUGUUAUCAUUGGAAGAUUGGUAAUUUUCAGCUAAAUAUCACUGAUUAAAAAUAAAACCAAAAAAUUCCCAGUACCUAAUGAUACCUAGAUUGCUUGGAAGAUUCUUAAGAUAAUUUUGAAGUAGUUGGAACUUUAAGGAAUUGGUAAUAAUAAUUACUAGCAAGCAUUUAUGGGGCACUUUAAAUAGGUGUGUUGGUAAAUUUUUAACAACCAGUGUACAGAAGAAAAAAAAUUAAGACUGGACACAUUUUAAAGUUUAAUCUCCAUUAUCAUUUUAUCCAUCAAUUUAAAAAAUCUAGACAAUCAAGAAAACAAAUCAGUCCUCUAUAUUGAUUUCCGAGAUGUAAAUGCUCACAAUGAAAAAUUUUAAAUUGGUUGGAAUUACAAUACAUCACUGGUUAAAGUUUUAAAAGCACUUUACAAAUAUUAUCUCAUUUUAUUCUCACAACUAUUUGAACAAUAGAUGCUAUCAUAAUCGUUAUUUUACAGGUGAGGAAACUGAGGUUAAGUGAAUUGCCCAAGGUCACACAGCUAGUAAGUAGCUGAGGCUGGAUUUGCAUUUGGGUCUUCCUAAUUUUAGGUUCACUGUGAUCUAUGCACUUUGCCACCUAGCUGCCUAAGUUCUAUGAGGUUAAUUCCCUCCAAUGAUGAAGACUAAAACCCAUCAUUUCACUCUUCCCCCCCAUUCUGUAUAAUUUUAUGUCCAUCCUUAAAUUUGAUAUGAGAUCCAUUCAGUGUGCUAGGAAUAUUCAUGUUCUCUUUACAUUGUAUGAAUUCUAAUGGACCCACAUAGGCUUAACUAUCCUAUGAUGUUCCCUUGUUCUUGCCAUAUGAUUGGCCCAUUUUUUUUUUCUUUUUUUUAGGCCAGAGGUGUCAAAAAGAAUGGCACCCUUGUAGGUUGAACUAGAUUCAAAAGUACUUGGGAAAUAUUGAACAAAAUAAAUAUACAACAGAGAUAAUGUUAGUAUGGGGUUUUCCAAAACAACAUACAACUUCAGGGAUGUUUGUAUAUGGUCUAGUAUAUGUAUACGCACUUAUAUGGUUAUACAACUAGCACAUGGAUGUAUAAAGAAGUCUAGUCCUACUUCUUUAUACAUGAGUUUGACACUACUAUUUUGCUUUGAAUCAUUCCCAGAAAAUUAAAGAAACUUUUCAUUUUCUUUCUUUCAAUGAAUGAAUUUUUAUGUGAGGACUGCCUUCAUAUAAUGAUCUUUCUCAAUGGAUUUUAACCAAUGAGUCAAUUAACAACACCAGCAACUCUAUACAUUG